AACAAAAAACAAUUUAAAACAAACCCACUAGAAGAAGCUCUUGAUAUCUACAGCUAUUUUUUCUUUUUUUUUUCUCUGCUCUCUCCCCCUUUAUCUAUUUAAAACCCUAAUAUUUUGACAGAGUCCAAAUCUGAUCUAACAAAUCCCACGGCCGUGUUGAAUUGACAAACAACUAUGUCUUCCUCGAAAUCACAUCAGUUUCCAUCUUGUAGACAUGACUCAAUCGUGUCUCCCAGGCACACAACCGUAUCUUU
rnacentral:lncRNA from 1 species